rnacentral:rRNA from 1 species
ACGUAAUUUCAUAGAGUCAUUUGGUUUGAAUGUUACAUGAAGAACAUAAGCCAGAUGAAGGAACAGGAAGACCUAGGAUGUAGAAGAUCAUAACAUUACUGAUUCGGCAGAUUUGGAUUCCUAUAUAUCACUCAUGUGGUACUUCGUUAUACAAUAUAUAUAAGAUCCAUCUGUAUAGAUAUCAUCAUCUACAUCCAGAAAGCCAUAUGCUUUAGAAAUAGCUUGUAUAGUUUGGGAAGAGGUUUUGAUUGAUCAAAAAGAAGAAUCUACUUCAACCGAUAUGCCUUUAGGCACGGCCAUACAUAACAUAGAAAUCACACUUGGAAAGGGUGGACAAUUAGCUAGAGCAGCAGGUGCUGUAGCGAAACUGAUUGCAAAAGAGGGGAAAUCGGCCACAUUAAAAUUACCUUCUGGGGAGGUCCGUUUGAUAUCCAAAAAUUGCUCAGCAACAGUCGGACAAGUGGAGAAUGUUGGGGUGAACCAGAAAAGUUUGGGUAGAGCCGGAUCUAAAUGUUGGCUAGGUAAGCGUCCUGUAGUAAGAGGAGUAGUUAUGAACCCUAUAGACCAAACCCAUGGGGGUGGUGAAGGGAGGGCCCCAAUUGGUAGAAAAAAACCCGUAACCCCUUGGGGUUAUCCUGCACUUGGAAGGAGAAGUAGAAAAAGGAAUAAAUAUAGUGAUAAUUUGAUUCUUCGUCAUCGUAGUAAAUAGGAUAGGAGAUAAAAUAGAAUUUGUUUCUUCGUCUUUACAAAAAAAGAAUAAAAAAAAUAGGAGAAAUUGACUAUGGCUUGUUCACUAAAAAAAAAUCCAUUUUGUAGCAAAUCAUUUAUUAAGAAAAAUAAAUAAACUUAACAUAAAAGCAUAAAAAAGAAAUAAUAGUAACUUAGUCCCGGGCGUCUACCAUUAUACCUAUAAUGAUUGGCCAUAUUAUUGCUAUACAUAAUGGAAAGGAGCAUUUGCCUAUUUAUAUAACAGAUCGUAUGGUGGGUCAUAAAUUGGGAGAAUUCGCACCUACGCUGAAUUUCCGAGGACACGCGAAAAAUGAUAAUAGAUCUCGUCAUUAAAAGUUGUUAAUAUUAACAUAAUCUAUAAAAAAUGAAAAAUAAAUAUAGAUGUUUAUCAUUCAUUAGUACAAGUUGAAUUUUAGGAUAAAGAUUUAUAUAAAGAACAGAAGUAUACACUUUAGGUAAACAUAAACAUAUAUGUAUACUUACUAACAAAGCCCAAAGACUAAGAGUAAUUGAUGAGAUUCUUGAACAUUCCGGGGAGGAAACACUUGUGGUACAUAUUAACUACUAGUUUUAUUCCAAAAAAAUAUUCAUAUCACUAAAGGUUCGUCCACAGAGGGUGGGUCAGGGCUUAAGAUCAGGCCGAAAGGCGUAGUCGAUGGACAACAGGUGAAUAUUCCUGUACUACCCCUUGUUGGUCCUGAGGAACGGAGGAGGCUAGGUUAGCUAAAAGAUGGUUAUCGGUUCAAGGACACAAGGUGCCCCUGCUUUUUCAGGGUAAGAAGGGGUAAAGAAAAUACCUUUAGCCAAUGUUACAGCACUGAAGUAACCCAUGCCAUACUCCCAAGAAAAGCUCAAACGACCUUCAACAAAAGGGUACCUGUACCCGAAACCGACACAAGUAGGUAGGUAGAGAAUACCUAAGGGCGCGAGACAACUCUCUCUAAGGAACUCGACAAAAUAGCCCCGUAACUUCAGGAGAAGGGGUGCCUCCUCACAAAGGGGGUCACAGUGACUAGGCCCGGGCGACUGUUUACUAAAAACACAGGUCUCUGCAAAGUCGUAAGACCAUGUAUAGGGGCUGACGCCUGCCCAGUGUCAGAAGGUCAAGGAAGUUGGUGACCUGAUGAUAGGGGAGCCAGCCACCGAAGCCCCGGUGAACGGAGGCCAUAACUAUAACGAUCCUAAGGUAGCGAAAUUCCUUGUCGAGUAAGUUUCGACCCGCACAAAAGGCAUAACGAUCUGGGCACUGUCUCGGAGAGAGACUCGAUGAAAUAGACAUGUCUGUGAAGAUGCGGACUACCUGCACUUGGACAGAAAGACCCUAUGAAGCUUCACUGUUCCCUGGGAUUGGCUUUGGGCCUUUCCUGCGCAGCUUAGGUGGAGGGGGAAGAUGGCACCCCUUCCGGGGGGGCCUGAGCUGUCAGUGAGAUACCACUCUGGAAAAGCUAGAAUUCUAACCUUGUGUUAGGACCUACGGGCCAAGGGACAGUCUUAGGUAGACAGUUUCUAUAGGGCGUAGGCCUCCCAAAAGGUAACGGAGGCGUGCAAAGGUUUCCUCGGGCCAGACGGAGAUUGGCCCUCAAGUGUAAAGGCAAAAGGGAGCUUGACUGCAAGACCCACCCGACGAGCAAGGACGAAAGUCGGCCUUAGUGAUCCAACGGUGCCAAGUGGAAGGGCCGUCGCUCAAUGGAUAAAAGUUACUCUAGGGAUAACAGGUUGAUCUUCCCUAAGAGCUCACAUCGACGGGAAGGUUUGGCACCUCGAUGUCGGCUCUUCGCCACCUAGGGCUAUAGUAUGUUCCAAGGGUUGGGCUGUUCACCCAUUAAAGCGGUACGUGAGCUAGGUUCAGAACAUCGUGAGACAGUUCGAUCCAUAUCCGGUGUGGGCGUUAGAGCAUUGAGAGGACCUUUCCCUAGUACAAGAGAACCGAGAAGGACGCACCUCUGGUGUACCAGUUAUCGUGCCCACGGUAAAUGCUGGGUAGCCAAGUGCGGAGCAGAUAACUGCUGAAAGCAUCUAAGUAGUAAGCCCAACCUAAGAUGAGUGCUAUCCUAUUCCGACUUCCCCAGAGCCUCUGGUAGCAUAGUUGAGACAGCGAUGGGUUCUCUAACCCUGUGGGGAUGGAGCAACAGAAGUUUUGAGAAUUCAAGAGAAGGUCACGGCAAGACGAGUCGUUUAUCAUUACGAUAAGUGUCAAGUGGAAGUGCAGUGAUGUAUGCAGCUGAGGCAUCCUAAUAGACCGGUAGACUUGAAC